CAUAUGCUUGUCUCAAAGAUUAAGCCAUGCAAGUGUAAGUACGAGCUCGAGUACAGUGAAACUGCGAAUGGCUCAUUAAAUCAGUUAUGGUUCAUUUGAUCGUACGCUUUAAUACAUGGAUAACUGUGGCAAUUCUAGAGCUAAUACAUGCGUGAAGCGCCGACUUGACAGGAGGCGCGCAUUUAUCAGACCAAAACUAACCGUGUUUCGGCACGUUCAGAUGGUGACUCUGGAUAAGCUCGCGGAUCGCACGGUCUUGCACCGGCGACAUCUCUUUAAAGCAACUGCCCUAUCAACUAUCGUCGGUACGGUAUCGGCCUACCGAGGUUGUAACGGGUGACGGAGAAUCAGGGUUCGAUUCCGGAGAGGGAGCCUGAGAAACGGCUACCACAUCCAAGGAAGGCAGCAGGCGCGCAAAUUACCCAUUCCCGGCUCGGGGAGGUAGUGACGAAAAAUAACAAUACAGGCCUCGUACGAGGCCCUGUAAUUGGAAUGAGUACACUUUAAACGCUUUAACGAGUAUCCAUUGGAGGGCAAGUCUGGUGCCAGCAGCCGCGGUAAUUCCAGCUCCAAAAGUGUAUAUUUAAGUUGUUGCGGUUGAAAAGCUCGUAGUUGGAUUUUGGGACGGCGCGUCUGGUCGGCCGCAAGGCUUGUACUGCACGCGCUGUCCUCACAUGACCGGUGCCUCUAAGGUGCUCUUAACUGAGUGCUUUUGUGGUCCGGGAAGUUUACCUUGAAAAAAUUAGAGUGUUCAAAGCAGGCUUAAAGCUUGAAUAAUGUUGCAUGGAAUAAUGGAAUAGGACCUCGGUUCUAUUUUGUUGGUUUUCGGAGCGCGAGGUAAUGAUUAAGAGGAACGGACGGGGGCAUCCGUACUGUGCCGUUAGAGGUGAAAUUCUUGGAUCGGCGCAAGACGAACAACUGCGAAAGCAUUUGCCAAGAAUGUUUUCUUUAAUCAAGAGCGAAAGUCAGAGGUUCGAAGACGAUCAGAUACCGUCCUAGUUCUGACCUUAAACGAUGCCGACUAGCGAUCGGGCAGCGUCGAUAUAAGACCUGCCCGGCAGCUUCCGGGAAACCAAAGUCUUUGGGUUCCGGGGGAAGUAUGGUUGCAAAGCUGAAACUUAAAGGAAUUGACGGAAGGGCACCACCAGGAGUGGAGCCUGCGGCUUAAUUUGACUCAACACGGGAAAUCUCACCCGGCCCGGACACAGCGAGGAUUGACAGAUUGAGAGCUCUUUCUUGAUUCUGUGGGUGGUGGUGCAUGGCCGUUCUUAGUUGGUGGAGCGAUUUGUCUGGUUAAUUCCGAUAACGAACGAGACUCUUACUUGCUAAAUAGCUACUCGAGCAUCUAGCUCGGAGAUAACUUCUUAGAGGGACUAGUGGCGUUUAGCCACACGAGAUUGAGCAAUAACAGGUCUGUGAUGCCCUUAGAUGUUCGGGGCCGCACGCGCGCUACACUGACCGGAUCAUCGUGUGCUUCCCUUGGCCGAAAGGCCCGGGUAAUCCCUUGAACCCCGGUCGUGCUAGGGAUAGGGAAUUGCAAUUGUUUCCCUUGAACGAGGAAUUCCCAGUAAGCGCGAGUCAUUAGCUCGCGUUGAUUACGUCCCUGCCCUUUGUACACACCGCCCGUCGCUACUACCGAUUGAAUGGUUUAGUGAGGUCCUCCGAUUGGGCCUGGUGAGCUCGGAAACGAGCCUGCUGGUGCCCGAAAAGACGCCCGAACUUGAUCAUUUAGAGGAAGUAAAAGUCGUAACAAGGUGCGUAG
rnacentral:rRNA from 1 species